AACAAAUGGGGAGCUUGUGGACAGGCUGAGAGGAAGGUUUCACCUUCGACCCGUAACCUGAUUUGGAUAAUGCCAACGUAGGGAAGCUGAUAACG
rnacentral:ncRNA from 1 species